rnacentral:tRNA from 1 species
UCCUCGUUGGCGCAGUUGGUUAGCGCGUGGUACUUAUAAACAUUAGGCGAUGCCAAGGUCACGGGUUCGAGCCCCGUACGAGGAA